CAAAAGAUCACAAGAAUUUUUUUUAAAUAAAUAAAUAAAAAAGGGCACCUACCCAAGCAAUAUUCCAAAGUAUAAACAUUAAAUCAAGUAGAAGGGAACAAAACAUUAUAUUAUGUGGCGGACCGCCAGUAUAUCACCGCCACAGGCUCCCUUUCCCAAAGCAACAAAGCUCUAUCGAUCAUGAGAGUAAAUAUCGCUGUAUAGCCUUUCCCCCCAUGAAUUAGUCGAGAGUGAAUGCAGAGAGUAGAUCUGUUUAUUU